AGUGUCGUUAUACACUACAGUACACCUAUCCAUAUGCCUACUACAUGGAAUCGGGUCCGAGGAAGAAAUUGUUUGAAUACCAACAGGCUCAACUUGAAGCAGAGAUUGAAAAUCUCUCAUGGAAGGUGGAAAGAGCAGAUAGUUACGACAGAGGAGAUUUGGAGAAUCAGAUGCACAUUGCUGAGCAGAGAAGGCGGACUCUGCUGAAAGAUUUCCAUGACACAUAAGACAGCAGGAGCUACCAGGGCACAAAGCUGGGAGCAAAGUAGCAAGAUGGCGGUGCGAGCAACGUGGGAAGCGAUCAGAGGAACUGGCCACCGCCUCUCCAUAAAACAGGGCUGAGGACAUCACUGCACCUUCCCCUUGCAAACCAGACAUGAGCUAGCACCACCGCUUGGUCUUCUAUUUUUCUUCUAUUUUCUGCUUUUUUCAUUUUUGGCAGGUAGAGGUUGAAAUUCAGUUGGCAUUUUUUCCUGGGACAUGUUAUUCCCCAGUUCUUGAAUUGUUUUAGAGGGGAGUUUUAUUUCCCCCGCCCUCUCCUGAAUGGCUGUUAAUAGUAUUAGAACAUUAUAAACUUCUGUAAUUUUUCGACAGUUGUACAGUGAUACAACAGUGGUUGAUACAAAGUGAACUCUAGAAUAACACAGACCCCUUUUUAAAAAUAAAUUGGGACUGGCGAGUGUUUCUUUCCCCCCCCCCCCCCCCAAUAAGCAGUUUGUAAACGUAAUGGCUUACUUCUCUUCUCUUCCCUAAACUCACUUUGCCAUGAAGGUUAUGAAAUAGUCCAGCUGUUGGUUUGUUUUCCCCUUUUCUGGGUACUUUCUUGCUUGCUUGUCCCGGGAGUGCAUGAGAUGAACAGGGCCUGUGCCAAGCAGAAUCAGCAGUUGCCAAAGGACAGCAUAAUUGUUGAAAGGUUUUCCUCCUUCUCCUUUGACCAGGCUGGAGCAAUAGGGCAAAGCUCAAAGCAGCAUGGGACAGUUCUAGUCCCAGCACAUGAAGUUGAUCUCCUGUAUGGAUUUAUUGCUUUGUUUUGUUUCCCUGGACUGCUACCUACUGCCAGAUUUAAAAUACUUGGAGAAGUUCAGGGAGCAUAACCUUGCUUCUUGGCAGCAUAAGAGUGAGCAUUAGAUUUUUUUUAGGGCAGUAGAGCCAGCCAUGUUUGGGCCAUAACUUGCAUAUCUGUGCAGCUCAGUCCUGCACAAUCUGAUUCUUUAGGUGGCUAUAAGGUGAUGCAUCAGAGUUGAUCUCUACUACCAUAACAAAAACAGACUUUCCUACUAUACCGAGGAAAAGUUAAAUUCGUUAUUAAAACAAAACACACACACCAGCAUACGUCAGAUCCUGCUAAACAGCCACCACUGUUUUCGAAACUCUUCUGCUGCUAGCUGAGAAGUAACCAGCAAAAAAAAAAAACCAUUGUCCAUAAUUCCAUAAUUACUGUUAAGAUUCAUAGGUGGCUGCUUACUGGCAGAGGUUUGUUAACUCUUGAAACGUGUUUAAUGUCAACAAUUCACAUCAGAGGCCAGCUUUUAAAAUGUAUGAAAAUAGUAGCUAUAUAAAGUACAUAUUUGGUUCUGCCGAUAAAGAAAUGGAAGAUGGGGCUGCCGUUUCCUGAAGCUGCUCCAAUCGAUGUCUUGAAACAAGAAUUUCCUUGCAUCCAUGUUUCCAAGAGCAGGUUGCACUGAGAUUUUUCUAUGUGCAUUGCUUAUGACCUUUGGGAUUGGGGUUAGAAAGCUUUACAAGAAUCAUUAUUUUCUGCUUAUGAAACCUGUUUUCCUAGCCUUUUGGUGAAAGUUAUUUGAUUAGCAUUUUUAGAUUUUGCCCUAGGUUUUGGAGGUCAUCAACCCAAGCCGUCAUCUUCCAUUCAGCUGCUGCUGCUGCCACUACUACCUCAGGCACAAGGAAGAAAAUGAUAAGCUUGUUUCCUAGACCCUAAUAUGGCUUCUCUGUUCCCAGCUAACCUCAGAUUAAACCAGUGGGUGGAAGAAGUAAAAAGCUUGUUGGGGACACAAAGAGAAUGUGACCUUUACCCAGAUUCACCCUUGCUCUUUCCCUUUCCCCAUUCCACUGGACCCUGGUAGCAUAUGUGGUAUGAUGACCUCAGCAGGUUUGCUCUUUUAAUCCAUAUCUUUGUCAAAAACAGAGAUCAUGCUUGUUUUUCUGGCUUAAAUGUUUUAAUUUCUCUGCAUGAAAACCACUGCUGGGCUUUGAAAUUUAGAAGCAGGCAAAACCUUUUAUCAAAUGCAAAGUGUUCAGUGUGUGUGUCAGACACUGCUUACUACGAUAUCUGUUUGUGUUAAUUCUGUGCGGUGUUAGCACAAAAUUAUUGACCUCUUGAUAGAGAAAACUGCUGGCUUCCUAACUUCCUCAGUAAUGCUGUCCUGAUCUUGCUUGCUUGCUUACACAAAGUUCAGGUUUUGAGGGAGGUGAGCAUCUUUUUCUCUUGAAACUUUAUAAAGUUCAGACUGAGCUGUUUCUGCUCAUGAAAUUAACUAAGGUGAAGUGUACAUGUUUCUUGUUCAGAAUUAUCCAAUGCAAAAGAGUGGUGUUACUUGCUAUAACUGGCAAAUACCUGCAACUGGUUGAAUUUACAGUAGCACAAUCACGACUUGCAGUGGAAAAAUUUUCUCUGUCUCCAAAGUUUGGCAUAUUGUUCAGAUGCUUAGAUCCAAUCUCACAUGGUGUACUAAGAUGUAGUAUACAAUUGUCACAUCACAUAAUGCAACAUAUUGAAGACAGGCUUCUGCUUGCUCAGGAGAAUAUUCUCACUUUUUGGUCUCUUUGUCAGCCUUCUGUGCCCUCCAGGGUUUGAGGAGAGAUGGCUGCACAGAGAGGAGGAAUCUACUCAGCUGAUGGGUGACAAAUACAGUUAGUUGUUACCGCAAAGCUGCUCCUAAGUUUGGAACCAAUACAUUCAUCCCAGAGUUUAGAGAUACGCCCUACCUCUUUUUCUUAUCUUCCCUGUUCUAGAACAGCACGAUGAUUGGGUGCUAUCUAAAAGUUUUUUUUAUCAUUGGCAGAAAACAGUCCGUCCGUCCUAGAAAUAUAUUUAUUCUCUUCACUCUGUAGCAUUUUUCAAAUUGAUCUUACAAUUUAAAAAAAACCUUGUUAGAAAAUUUCACUUUGUGAUGAAAUGGACUGUAACUAAAGGGCAUCUAAGCCAAAGGGAAGGCACUACAUUUCCCUCACAGCAGGUUAACAUCCUAUACUAGGAAUUUUGGUCUUCCUCUUGUUCUAUCAGGCUUAGCCUAAGCCAACCUGGCAGCUAUUUUCAUCCUUCACUCUGCAUGUUGAGAUUGUUGGCUGGGCUUACCCUUGACCACAAUGUUUAUUUCACCUAGUUUGGUUUACUUUUUAAAAUUCCCUUUCACAACUUGCCUUCCUUCUUUCUAAAAGAGAGAGACAGAAAGCUAAGGCAAACAACCACCUACCGAUAGUAAACACCGAAGCACGUAGAUAGUAUCCAAUUCUCCUGUCCAGUAGAAUUCUAUACAUGUCAAAAGCUUUCAUACAGACAGCAGCAGAGGCUGUGCAGAUAAGGAAGGGAGAGAUUCUGUAACCAGUUUUAUGCUUGUCCUCUUCUAGCAUCCAUUCUGUAGCAGUAAAAUCACUUUUUUUUAUUUUUAACACUUAAUGCCAUGCUAGUGUUACAGAAAGAACUGAAGACUUUUUGUUACUGUUCUGUCUUGAUCCAUUUAAACUUGUGUUUCUGUUUUUCAAAAUUCAAUUUCACUUUAGUAACUUUUUGUAAAAACAAAACAAAACAAAACUUCUUAUGUGCUCGCUCAAGUCUGGACUGUUCCAAAUUUUCAGGUAGUAGCUUCUGCUAUGGAAGCUUUUUUUUUAUUACGCAGAGUGCUACAUUAUCAUGGCUGCCUUUGCUAUGUCCCUCACUGAGAUUUGGGGGAAAGCAAUCUCAAGAAACUGCCAACACUUUUCCGGCAUUAGGAGGGGAAGAGGGCAGAGGAGAAAGAGCCCUUUAAAUUUUCCCCUCCUGAAAUUGUUUUAUUUGAAAUAAAUUGUGAAUUUCUAAUUUUAA